AUGGAGAACCCCAACUUCAUCACCGAGCAACGGGUGUUGUACAAGGCCACGCGCGCUCACGCCACCUGCAACACGAUCAAGACACAGUCGAAUGCGGAGGCGGCACAGGCGAUCACGGACGAAAAUGUCGGCAGCCGCGCACCCUUCGCGCCGCCAAUGAAGUUUCAAGGGUGCCGAUUCCAUGAGAGGCAUGUUUGUCCAUGUCCAUCAUCGAUCUCACAUGAACCGGUGACGGACAUGUUGCAGACUCCGACGAGGAGCAGUAGGGCGUGGGAGGCGGUGAGGCCUCGAGUAUCAAUACCAAAAAAACAUUUCCAAGACACGGCGUGGGUGGGCACUGCAACGGUAAGAAAUUCCCCUGUCGAUGUUCAAAAAAAAAAUUCCCCUGUCCGCCCCCAAUUCGAGACGGAAGCACCGCACAGCAGCCGACCUCGCAUUGAUGCCUACCCCUGCCCCUGCCCGCUCUGGAUCCUUCCAUCCAUCACGAACCCACAGCUCCACUUUCCUUUUAUUUCCGCCGCCACGCCACGCGCACCUCGGCGAAGGACAAGGCUCCGGCUGCCGCCACCGCCUCUGCCCCCGGCUAUAAAGGCGCGCCCUUUGGCCGGCCCGCUCCUCCUACUCCUCGCUUCGCCCGUGCCAUGCCUUCCUCCUCCUCGCCGCGCUCUGCCCGGUCAGCUCCUCCUCCUCUUCGUCUGGGCGGUGCCUCUCUCCUCCGGCGUCCCCGCCGCGCUCCGGCCGGUCCACUUCUCCUCCACCCUUCGUCCGGGCCGUGCGUCUGCCCUACUCGAGCCGGGUUUCAUCUUGCUCGCCCUCCUCGAUCGAUUUUUUAGAACCGCUCCCGAGUUGAUUGUGCUCGUCCCCGCCGUCGUCAGUUUAGAGUCGCUCGCUUCUGAUUUGAUUCUGCUCGUCCUCGCCGUCGCCCUACCAGCUAGCUUGUUUCACUCUCGUCAGGCGUGCGUGCUCUCAUCCUGGAUGCAGGGGACAAGGUUUCCUUCUUUUAUUCCUCGUGUUGCUAUUUCCAUUUUUCAUACAGGAGUACUAGAUGAGUUUAUGUUCAGCGCAAGUAGAUUUUGUUCGUAUGCAAACCAUUUAGGCCGUUUUGAGCAGGCAGGGAUCCAGAGACGUGCGCUGUAUGUUGCUCUUUCCAGGACCGAUAAUUCUGAUAGUAUGCUGAUACUUGCAGAUUUAUCACCUUAUGGGAGGGAAAGUAGUGGCCUCCUGGCUUGUAGUUGGGUAAUGCAGAGAGAGGAUAGAGGUGCAAUGUUUACAUCCAUGGCAGAAGGUUCUUUAACACUGAACUCAUCAAAGAUCCUUGGACUUGAGAGGUCACUACCUGGACGUAUAGGUCAGCUACCAGAACUUCUUGCUGCUGAUCCUGGGAUGUUUCCAAACAUGCUCCCGAACAUGUUCAAUGUAUCCGCCCUAGGACAGGCUGCUCGGCAUGCUCGGCGUGUUUACGUCGGUGGACUUCCUCCAAUCGCUAAUGAAACAGUCCAUGCUAACUAUGUUGUUCUUCUUUCUGCAGACGGUUGCUCUAUUCUUCAAUCAAGUUAUGGCUGCUAUUUUGGUCUGGAAAUAGCAGAAGUUCUUCCUGGAAGCACUGCCUUUGCCGGUCCCAAGCACGGAUGUGAGAAUGUGGAGGAGCUGCAGUUACCUUCUUUGUAUUGUUUGCAUUACACACGUGGAUCUUCACAUAACGUGAUAGCAUGUGAUGAAGCUUUGAAAUGCAUCCUUCCUUGCUAUGAACAAUCCAGGCAUGCCAGGAACUUCGUGAUUCCUUUCUCAAGCUGUGAUUCAAUAUGGUUUCUUUGUCUCCGCUGGCGAUUCGAGCGUAUUCGACCGCUUGGAGUCAAGUUCUUCAUCGGCUCCAGCAUUGGGCUAAGGCGUACACUGCUCCGCCGCCACUGCUCUGUUUUCUGUAGUGUUCAUUCCGCCAUGGGGUUUGAUGGAUGUUGA
rnacentral:rRNA from 1 species